GACGAACGCUGGCGGCGUGCUUAACACAUGCAAGUCGAACGAAGAGCGAUGGAAGCUUGCUUCUAUCAAUCUUAGUGGCGAACGGGUGAGUAACGCGUAAUCAACCUGCCCUUCAGAGGGGGACAACAGUUGGAAACGACUGCUAAUACCGCAUACGAUCUAACCUCGGCAUCGAGGAUAGAUGAAAGGUGGCCUCUACAUGUAAGCUAUCACUGAAGGAGGGGAUUGCGUCUGAUUAGCUAGUUGGAGGGGUAACGGCCCACCAAGGCGAUGAUCAGUAGCCGGUCUGAGAGGAUGAACGGCAACAUUGGGACUGAGACACGGCCCAGACUCCUACGGGAGGCAGCAGUGGGGAACCUUCAGCAAUGGACGAAAGUCUGACGGAGCAACGCCGCGUGAGAGAUGACGGCCUUCGGGUUGUAAAGCUCUGUUAAUCGGGACGAAAGGCCUUCUUGCGAAUAGUGAGAAGGAUUGACGGUACCGGAAGAGAAAGCCACGGCUAACUACGUG
rnacentral:rRNA from 1 species